UGUGUUCAGAUGGAAUGGAAGUCGACUCAAGCACAGUUGCUGGACAGUUUGACGACGCCGAUGUGGAUCACUGAUUUACUGCGUUUCUGUACGGCUGAUUGAAGCACUUCAGUGGGGCAUGCUGGGAUACCGGCUGACUCUCAAAGCUCUUAUAAUUUCUGUUUUACACCACGGCCGUACAUUUCCAGAUCCACAGCCCUGUGUAGCUUCCACUAAUCGAUUUUGUAGUUUUCCCUGAAGACCAACUUCCAGAAUGAUCCUCCUCAGUGGAGUGAUGUUGAUGAGUUUGUUAGAGAUUUCAAUAAAUACACCUGUUUUUGUA